rnacentral:rRNA from 1 species
GACGAACGCUGGCGGCGUGCUUAACACAUGCAAGUCGAACGGAAAGGCCCGCCACCUUGGUGGUGGGUACUCGAGUGGCGAACGGGUGAGUAACACGUGGGUGAUCUGCCCCGCACUGUGGGAUAAGCCUGGGAAACUGGGUCUAAUACCACAUACGACCAUGGCGUAGGGGUCAUGGUGGAAAGCUUUAUUGCGGUGUGGGAUGAGCCCGCGGCCUAUCAGCUUGUUGGUGGGGUAAUGGCCUACCAAGGCGGCGACGGGUAGCCGGCCUGAGAGGGUGGACGGCCACAUUGGGACUGAGACACGGCCCAGACUCCUACGGGAGGCAGCAGUGGGGAAUAUUGCACAAUGGGCGCAAGCCUGAUGCAGCGACGCCGCGUGGGGGAUGGAAGGCCUUCGGGUUGUAAACUCCUUUCGCCCGGGACGAAGCCCACCUGGUGGGGACG